rnacentral:rRNA from 1 species
UACAGAGGUCUCAAGCGUUGUUCGGAUUCAUUGGGCGUAAAGGGUGCGUAGGCGGCGCGGUAAGUCGGGUGUGAAAUCUCGGGGCUUAACUCCGAAACUGCAUUCGAUACUGCCGUGCUUGAGGACUGGAGAGGAGACUGGAAUUUACGGUGUAGCGGUGAAAUGCGUAGAUAUCGUAAGGAAGACCAGUGGCGAAGGCGGGUCUCUGGACCGGUAUUGACGCUGAGGAGCGAAAGCCAGGGGAGCAAACGGG